rnacentral:misc_RNA from 1 species
UACGUAUGGUGCAAGCGUUAUCCGGAUUUACUGGGUGUAAAGGGAGCGCAGGCGGUACGGCAAGUCUGAUGUGAAAGCCCGAGGCUCAACCUCGGUACUGCAUUGGAAACUGUCGGACUAGAGUGUCGGAGGGGUAAGUGGAAUUCCUAGUGUAGCGGUGAAAUGCGUAGAUAUUAGGAGGAACACCAGUGGCGAAGGCGGCUUACUGGACGAUUACUGACGCUGAGGCUCGAAAGCGUGGGGAGCAAACAGG